rnacentral:rRNA from 1 species
GAUGAACGCUGGCGGCGUGCCUAAUACAUGCAAGUCGAGCGAACAGACGAGGAGCUUGCUCCUCUGACGUUAGCGGCGGACGGGUGAGUAACACGUGGAUAACCUACCUAUAAGACUGGAUAACUUCGGGAAACCGGAGCUAAUACCGGAUAAUAUAUUGAACCGCAUGGUUCAAUAGUGAAAGACGGUUUUGCUGUCACUUAUAGAUGGAUCCGCGCCGCAUUAGCUAGUUGGUAAGGUAACGGCUUACCAAGGCAACGAUGCGUAGCCGACCUGAGAGGGUGAUCGGCCACACUGGAACUGAGACACGGUCCAGACUCCUACGGGAGGCAGCAGUAGGGAAUCUUCCGCAAUGGGCGAAAGCUUGACGGAGCAACGCCGCGUGAGUGAUGAAGGUCUUCGGAUCGUAAAACUCUGUUAUUAGGGAAGAACAAAUGUGUAAGUAACUAUGCACGUCUUGACGGUACCUAAUCAGAAAGCCACGGCUAACUACGUG